CAAGACGUAGCUAUAAUGAAAGCAUUCAGCUUACACCUGAAAGAUAUCUGCUCCAUACAGGUCGUCUUGA
rnacentral:tRNA from 1 species